GCAAAGAAAGAGGAAGAGAAAGAAGUGGGAAUAUCCGGAAUCAGCAGUUAGUUGAAUUCCCGGUACAAGAGUUCUCGUAUCUGAUCAACCAGUAACCGGUGUGGGAGUAUGAGAAUAAGCUGUUGGUGCAGGUGCAAUAGAAGCUCUAGACGCUCUUGGUCUCCUCAACGCAUCCGCUGUUGUUAGAAUGAAAUUCCCCGGUGCUUUGUUUGCCAUUAAAUGCGCUGUGGGACAUCGAGGAAGAGCAUCUGGGAAUUUCUCUUUUUUUUUUACGACUGCCCGUAGCCGGAGUUGGUCUCGUCGCUAGGUCUUUAACCGGUUCGGAAGAUACACUAUCAGUCAAUGAAGUGGGCUUAAACAGAAAGUUGGGUAUUGUAUUGAGAUGCUUGCUUGGCCGGAACCCCAACUACUACGUUGGGAGAAUUGAAAAAUAAAUUAAGACUAUCCAAAGAAGGAUCGGAUCUUUUAAAGAACUAUAUUGGGGAACAGGAAACUCCUGGUUCAGGAGCGGGGUCAACCAAGCGCCAGGCAUUCACAUCCUGAGUACCACCUCGGAGCUUAAUUUGGCAUAUGCUCAACUGAGUGAUCAAACCCACUAAAAUUGCUCCAAGAACUGCAACUUUUCGCCAAUCUGGUGAAGAAGAAAUGAAGGAAUCAGCAAUAACAAUGACUAGCACCCCAAUCAAAGCAAGACCCUGGUACCAGCUUCAUCGAGUCCUUUAAGAGCAUCUUCUCCAAUUUUAUCGAACUCGGCAUUGGCUUCUUCAGCAAAUUGAGUCAGAUAAGCUGAUCUUUCAUCUAGGUAAUCAGUGAGACGAACUUUUUGAGCUUGAAGCAUAGCUAUUCUUGCAAGUAGCUCUUGCUUACGAGUAUCACCUUCAGGAGGUGGAGACGCCUCUGAAUCAGAAUUAGAAUCACUGGAGUUGCAAAGGUAUAAUAUUGAAUUCUUUUGGUUAAUUGGUCUUCUUGUACGGAAAAGGGUAUGCUUUGUAGGUGAAAAAGAGGUGUUGAUGGCUUUGAGCGCCAUCAUCUUCUUCUUUCCCUUACAGAAGUGGGAGAGAGGGGGUUGGAUUUUGAACCUUUCGUUUGGUGGAUAUUAUUGUGGAGUGUGGCCAAUCUUUACACUGACAUGUUAUUAUGGAUUUUUGAAA